UAGGGAAUCUUCCGCAAUGGACGAAAGUCUGACGGAGCAACGCCGCGUGAGUGAAGAAGGAUUUCGGUUCGUAAAACUCUGUUGUUAGGGAAGAAAAAAUGUAUAGUAACUAUAUACAAAAGAGACGGUACCUAACCAGAAAGCCACGGCUAACUACGUGCCAGCAGCCGCGGUAAUACGUAGGUGGCAAGCGUUGUCCGGAAUUAUUGGGCGUAAAGCGCGCGCAGGUGGUUUAGAAAGUCUGAUGUGAAAGCCCACGGCUCAACCGUGGAGGGUCAUUGGAAACUAAUAAACUUGAGUGCAGGAGAGAAAAGUGGAAUUCCUAGUGUAGCGGUGAAAUGCGUAGAGAUUAGGAGGAACACCGGUGGCGAAAGCGGCUUUUUGGCCUGCAACUGACACUGCGGCGCGAAAGCGUGGGGAGCAAACAGG
rnacentral:rRNA from 1 species